rnacentral:misc_RNA from 1 species
AAGGAUCAUUAUUGAAUAAACUUGGUUGGGUUGCUGCUGGCCCCUCUGGGGGUAUGUGCACACCUGCCACUAGUUUUCAACCCCCUGUGCACUUUAUGUAGGUUGGAGUAACAUCUCUCGAGGAAAAUACUCGGAUUGAGGACUGCUGUGUGAUUAACCGGCUGUUCUUGUGUCUCCAGUCUAUGUCUUUAUCAUAUACUCCUAAUGUAUGUAUUAGAAUGUGUUGUUAGGCCAUUGUUGCCUUUAAAUCAAAUACAACUUUCAACAACGGAUCUCUUGGCUCUC